AAUAAAGUUUUCUUUAUUGGGGUUGCGGACAUAUCAUAACGAAGAGGUAUCGUAAUUGAAGAGGUUUGGAAAGACCCACCACAGAAGGUAAUAGUCCUGUAUGUUAAACGAGAAGACUUUAGAUAUGAUCCAGAGUACCACGGGACACGUGAAACCCUGUGGGAAGCAGGAGGGACCACCCUCCAAGGCUAAAUACUACCUAGUGACCGAUAGCGUAUAGUACCGUGAGGGAAAGGUGAAAAGAACCACGGGAGGGGAGUGAAAUAGAACCUGAAACCCUGCACUUACAAGCUGUGGAAGCACAUUUCUUGUGUGACCGCGUACUUUUUGUAGAACGGGCCAACGAGUUACGUUAAGUAGCAAGGUUAAGCACUUAAGGUGCGGAGC
rnacentral:rRNA from 1 species